GAAAAGAGAGGAUGCUCCACAGGAAACAGCCAGAAGUGUGGAAGGCAUGCUGAGUGGAAGGACUCACAUCAGCAUAGAGUGCACCGGCGUUGAGUGCGGCAGUCAAACAGCCAUCUACGCUACUCGCUCUGGAGGAGUAGUGGUGUUGGUAGGCCUUGGUGAAAAGAUGACCACCAUGCCUCGCCUCCAUGCAGCUGUCAGAUAAGUCGACAUCAAAGGCGUGUGUUGUUACUGUAACACGUGGCCUUUGGCGAUUGCCAUGGUUGCUUCAAAGCAGGUUGACGUGAAGCCCCUGGUCACCCACCGCUUUCUAUUGGAGCAGGCUGUCCAGGCAUUUGAAACAACACGUCAGAGACUUGGUGUCAAAGUCAUGCUGAACUGACAAAAAUGACCAGAACCCAUAACACCCAGAACCCCUCACUGACCACAGUCAUUUAUUAAUGCUAUGCCGCCCAGCUCUGCCCAGUAUGGUCAGUCUUAGAAAUAAUCUUCCAUAAUUAGUGAUGGGACUUUGCAGCUUUGAAUGCAAUGAAAAUAUUACAUCCUGUAAUUGCCACCUUUCACAUUUACCAAAGUAUUAAAAGGGC
ensembl:lncRNA